GACGAACGCUGGCGGCGUGCUUAACACAUGCAAGUCGAACGGAAAGGCCCUGCUUUUGUGGGGUGCUCGAGUGGCGAACGGGUGAGUACACGUUGGUAACCCUGCCCUGACCUUUGGACAACCUUAUGGAACAGGGGGCAAUUCCGGGUAGGAGGCCCUGCUUCAUUGUGGGGGGUGGAAAGUUUCGGCGGUUGGGGGUGGACUCGCUGCUUAUCAGCGUGUUGGUGGGGUAGUGGCUUACCAAGGCUUUGACGGGUAGCCGGCCUGAGAGGGUGACCGGCCACAUUGGGACUGAGAUACGGCCCAGACUCCUACGGGAGGCAGCAGUGGGGAAUAUUGCACAAUGGGCGGAAGCCUGAUGCAGCAACGCCGCGUGCGGGAUGACGGCCUUCGGGUUGUAAACCGCUUUCGCCUGUGACGAAGCGUGAGUGACGGUAAUGGGUAAAGAAGCACCGGCUAACUACGUG
rnacentral:rRNA from 1 species